GGGUGUCCGCGAUUUUACGUAUGGACAGGUGAUAGCGCUGGUCGGGCCGCCAGCG
rnacentral:ncRNA from 12 species